UCCCAGUUCGUAGCUCGGGUAAUAAGACAAAAUCAAUGCAAUGAAUUACCCUCAUCACUUUGGAGGUGUUUGAUAAACUCGGGGCUCCUUCCCUCCCCGCUCCCCACCCCUCACCCAGUCACGUGCCUACUGUUGCUGCCCCCAUCUAGUAGAAUGAACUCUGGAGAGAAAAUCAUGGUUUAAAACACUGACUUUGUUACUAAUAACUCAAAUGGCCUUGAACUAGCCUCUUUCUCUUUGGGUCUCAGUGUUCUUAUCUGUGAUAUGGGGGAAGUUGGACUAGAUGACCUCUAAAUCCUCUGCUGCUCUUUGUCCCACACGUGCAGAGGAAUACCAGCAUUCCUCCGUCCUUGAGACUGAUAAGAUAUAGAGCUAGCACUAGCCUUGCAUACCAUAGAUAUUGGAGGAAGAUGUAACUUGUUUUUUGAUUUGAUUCCCUGCCUGCUGAAAGGGCUUGAGUCUGUAUAUCUCCUGAACAAAACAGAAGCACCCCGCUUGCUGUGUGGUAUGUCUCAACCCCUAGAGGCUUCAUGUUCCCCAAAUCUGCUGGGAAAAGGUUCUUCUUUUGACUUCGCAUCUGUCCCUCUGGACCCGUCUGCUGACUCCAGCUCCAUCUGAUGUGAUAAGUGUCUGCUUUGACCUAUGUAAACAAGAGGUGAAUGAAGAUUGAGACAGAAUGGACUAAGCUUCAACCUUCUGCAUUUCGAAGGUCAGAAAAAUUCCCAGAGAUCCAAUAGUUGAGCUCAGGAAGGAGCCAAUUCUGAGGAAUGACCCCCCCCCUUAAUUAACAUAGUCCAUCCAUGGAUCAACACAGCUGCCUAAACACAAUGUCUAUAUAUAGCAGCAGAAAUAUUGUUUGAAGAAUGACUUGUGUGUGUCUACCUCCAGAAAAAUAAAUUAUAUAUAGAACAAGGAAGACAUAAUGGUGCAUAUAUAUAUAUAUAUAUAUAUAUAUAUAUUAAAAAUCAAAUGUCUUCUUUAAUGUAGAGAGGGAAAGGAGGAUGGGAGAGAUCUGGGAAUUUUAUGUAACAAAUUAAUUAAUUUUUAAAAAUAAUGUCCUUUACUCAAUGAAGUGAUUUGUCAAUGCUACAUUCAGAAAUCAAAUCAGUAGUGUGAGGAAUGAUUAUGGUGUCUGUUUCAAUGUGAGCCCAUUAUUCCCAGGGACUUAAGUGGUAAAGGAGAGAAUGCAUACCCACCUUUUUUUCUCCAGUUCUGGAAGACUGCUUUCUUCCUUUAGUUUUCUGCUACAUCUUCUCAGUAAAAGCUAAUUGAUAUUGAUUGCUUAUCAGUGAUAUUGAGGAACCAUCACUUGGUUAAUUGAUACUGGGGAACUAUUGACCCUGGUAAACUAUAUCAGGACAAUUAUCAUGAAGGCUGCUAGGUGGCUAGUGGAUAAAAUGCCAAGCCUGGAGUUAGGAAGACCUGAGUUCAAAUAUAACUUUAGAUGCUUACUAGCUAUGUGACUGGAAAAGUCACUUAACUCUCACUAUUUGCCUCAGUUUCCUCAUCUAGAAAAUGACCUGGAGAAGGAAAAGGCAAACUGUUCCCAUAUCUUUGCCAAGAAAACUCCAAAUGGGGUCACCAAGAGUCAAACAUGACUGAAAGGAAUGAACAACAAUCCUAAAAGAAGGUCCUUAUCUCAGCAACUUUCUAACUCCUCAGAUCCAUUCCUAUGUCAGGGUCAAUAACCUAAGGAUACUCUAUUAGCCUUUGAUUUAAGCUGGUUCUUUAUGUAAGUGAAUCUACUUUCUUUACCUCUUGUUUUAACUACUAUCUUAGAACAAUAUAAGUCAUUAUUGGCAAAUGAUAUUGGUGGGGGAAUAUACCAGGAUGGGGACUUAAGCCAAUAGUAAAAAAAGAACCCCAUUGCUCCUCAAGAGUAUCCCUAGACUUUGCUACUAGUAGCAAUGCAAUAAGCCAGGACACUCCUGAAGGAUUUAUGUAAAAGAAUGUUAUCCACAAUGAGAGAAAGAACUAUGGGAGUAGAAAUGCAAAAGGAAAACAUAUAACAUCACUUAUCACAUGUAUAUAUGGGUAUGUAAUUUGGGGCUUAGGCCAUAAAAUAUCGCUCUAUAGCAAAAAUGAAUAAUAUGGAAAUAGGUAUCAAGUGAUUACAUUUGUACAGCCUAGUGGAAUUGCUUGUCAGCUCCAGGAGGGGGAAGAGAAGAGGGGAGAGAAAGAAAAUGAAUCAUGGAAACAUGGAAAAACAUUUAAAAAUUUUAAAUUUUAAAGAAUAUCCCUAGAACCCUGUCCAGGAGAUAUAGCCUGAUGCACUCUGGAAACACAACCUACAGUUCAUGUGAGCUGGGAGAAUAAAACUAGAGACUUAUAUUUGAGAUAAACCAGAAACUGCUCCUUUAGAACAUGUGCCAUGAUCUCCACCAUACUGAAUUGUCUAUAUAUUCUUAAAAAUUCUAACUAACUAACUCCAAUAGGGAUAGUUUAAUAAGAAGUGAGGAAAAUAAUCAUAAUAAAAGAUUAAUCAAACUCCUAGCUGGCUCGCCAAGAAAUGUAGGGGUUAAAAUUAGGAGCUUGACAAAGAUAGGAGAGCAGUUUAACAAAUUUUUGUUUUACUAGAGAAAAAAUAGGAAAGUCAGAAAGAUAGGAAAGAGAGAGAUUUAACUAUUUACCCUUGUACUACCUAAAAACUACCUAAAUCUCCUUAUAUCAACUUAUAAACUACCUAAAAACUAUUAUUUGAGAGAGUCUCACUAAUAACUCUUCAGCUUAGCUAACCAGGCUGAACAUACACUAUAUAUAUAUAUUUUUUUUUUCUAACUCACUAAGCAAUAGACAGCUACCAAAAUACACUCUCCUUCAAUCAGAUUCUACAGUAGCCAAUUGUCACUAUCAACUGCCAGAAACACCCUGCCCUGGGUAUAAAAGGGAAUUCUUUGUUCUCUUUGAGUUUACACUUGUGAAAGGGAAUCCUUUAUUCCCUUUGUCUAUUUUGAGUUAAGCUUUGGUUAACAAUAACUUAAGUAUCCUUACUUAGUACCUUACUACAUUGUGAAAACAGAAUUAACUCUCCUUUUCCUACUUUUGAAUUGAAUCAAUAAAAGCUUGAACACCCUAUUUAGCACUAGGUAGAGUAGCUCAGAUCAAUCAGCCAGGAAAUGAGAAUUCACAACCUCAGUCCAUCAGGAAUCUGCAAACUCUUUUGAUUAGCAUUCACUUCUCCAGAAAGUAAGAAGUGGUCACACAAACACUGCUCCCUGGGCAUUGCUGAACAAUUUGGAAGCUGUGGUUAGCCCUCGUGAAGAGAGGAAGGGACAAGAAGCCACUAUAAAAGGCCCUGAAUUUCUGGGGCUAGGGAAGUUGACUCCAAGAAGGAAGUUGACUGGAGUCAUCAUCAUCAUCUUGACCUGCCUCUUGGAGGGAACUUGGGUGAAUGGAUAGCUAGCUUUCCCUUCCUGUCUUCUGGAGAGAGUUAAAUUCCAGUUGAAGGUCAACAGAGUUGAGCACUGGAGCAACAUUUAGUUAGGUAAACUAAUGUCUUCUCUACCCUUUUGUAUUUCUCUGUUUUCACUCUUUCUAUCUCUUUUGUAAAUAAAAACUAUUAAAGUCAUUUUGACUUUGAAGCAAUAAUACUUUGAAUCAGCAACUACCAUAUUAUUUAUAAAUUUCAUAUAUUUUAGUCAAACCAUUAAAAUUUAAUUCUUACAUAGGAAACCUUAGAGAGAAAAGGCCCUUCUCACACUUCAAGCUUACCUUUAUCUCUCAUUCUCCAACUAUCAUUCUUAUAUCACUUCCUCUCUGAGAGCAGUCUUUAUUUCCUUUAACUUUGGCUGGUCUCCAUGGUAAUAGAACCUCUUCUCUUUGGGCCUGGCUCUUUGUCUACUGAGCUAGCCACCUCUUUCCCCAGUUAAGUUAGAGAAAGGUAUUAAGAAUUCCCUUUUAUACUUAGCACAUGAAUAUAAAUUCCCUUGCUGAUGGGGAGCAUCCUGCUCCUGGAGUAUCCUUCUUGGGUACUCUGGGCAUUUAAAACAUGAAUUCUGUGGCAUGUUGAACUGAAAUUUGUCUGCUCAUUAAGUUAUAGCACAAUGCCUACCUAGCACAUGAUAGGUACUCAAUAAUUUGUUAUUGGUAUAAGAAGUGCUAUGGGCCUAUGGGUAGGGAGAGAGGUAGGGCUGAUAGCCUUCCCCCCCUCCCCCCUUGUAAACAAUAUUUUAUUCUAGGACACUCUGUUAAUAGAAUAAAUAAACACAUUUCAAAUUACUCAAAGGAUGUAAUAUCAGAGGGACAGAUGAGAAUGGUACUUACAUAGAACCAAAGCAGUUACUAUGAUAGUCACCACCUGAUCUCUAACUAUGUAUGUAUAUAUAGCACACACACACACACACACACACACACACACACACACACACACACACACACACACACGGUACCUCUGUUUUAAGUUGUCACUCAUUGGUAAGACUAAUUCUGCUUUCUGAAAAACAUUAAACCUGUCUAUCCCCUUCCACAUGAUGGUCUUUCAGAUGUUCAAAGACAGCUUUCACCUUCUUUGCAUCUUUUCCCUAGGAGUUAUUCCAACAUCACAACUAUCCCAUCUCCUUAUAGCUGAUCAGAAGAGAGCAUCAUCUCAGAGCCUUGAUAGGGCCCAGGCAUGAGCCUGCUUGGUAUUGUUAGUAGGUUGCCUUCUAUAUAAAAUGGCAACAUCACCAAUAUAAAUGACAUCCACCACUUUUUAUGAGUGACUUUACAGUGAUCCUUUAAAGCAAAAGCAUCAAGGUAGUACAGUAGAUAUGGCACCAGAUCUGGAAGUAAGAAGUCCUGAGUUCAAAUCCUGAUUCAGAUACUAAUGAGCUUUGGGACCCUGGAUAAAUCACUUAACUUCUCUCCGACUCCAUUUCCUUAUCUAAAAAAAUAGACCUACUUUGGAAGUACCUGCUUCACAAAAUUGUUAUGAAGAUUAAACGGGAUAAUAUAAAGCACUCUGCAAACCUUAGAUCAUUAAACAAAUGCUAGCUAUUAUUAUUUAAGCAGAGAUAGUAUCAAUGAUUCAAAGGAAAUGCUGUAUGCUUGCAAAAUCUCAAAAGGAUUCAAAGUUGCUUACAGUAAAGAAGAGACUUUAUGACAAUGUUACAGAUAUGAAUAAAUAUGUAUUUAGAAAGGCUCAUAUGGGGCAGGUAGGUGGCACAGUGGAUAGAGCACCAUGUUUAAAGUUGGGAGGUCUUGGGUUCAAAUCCAGCCUUAGACAUUUUCUAGUUGUGUGACCAUGGGCAAAUUACUUAACCCCAAAUGCCCAGCCCUUAGUGCUCUUCUGCCUAGGAACCAAUAUUUAAUAUCAGUUGUAAGACAGAAAAUAAGGGUUUAAAAAAAGGUUCAGCCUCCACAAAGUCCAUGACUAUGGAUACAUCAUGGCCCAAAUUUAUCCUCAUUUUACAACAGUAGUCCAUGGAUACUACCACCUUGUCCAUCUUCUUCCCACUUUCUGGCUUAGCACCAGGUUUAGGGUACCAAUCCCUUGGCCAUCUCUUACUGCUAUUGUAUAGUAUGAUGUCAUGAUGCAAGCUCUGCCCUACAGAAUCAAUAGGUCAUGAUUCUACUCUACUGUGUGGCUUUGACCAAAUCACUUCUCUGUCCUUCCUGAGCCUCAAUUUGUCUUCUAUAAACUGAAAGGGCUGAUCCCUAACUUUCUUUUCAGUUGAAGAAUUUUCUGGUUGUGUAGCUUUAAGUAACUUAUUUACAAAUUGAAAAUCCUAUUAACUGUGGCAAACCACCAAUAGCAUAAGCACCCUCUUCCUCCUCCAUUAGGAAUCCUUACACCCCUUUGAACCACCUCUUUCUGAUGUUACCCAGCAUAAGAACGUGGCCUCCUGCUCUCCUUUUCUGGCCUGGCUUCUUGGAAUCUCACAGCUCCCUGAAAUUACAAAACAAUGCCCAGCAGAAGCCACAAGCCUGAUUCUAAGCCAGCCUUCAAAGUUGGGGUUCAUCACUAUGCUUUUACUAAUAUGGCUCCCUCAGAUCCAUAGAAACUGUCUGGGUUGAACAUCUAUUUGAAAACUAAAACUGCCACCAUCCAGCAAGCCAACACAAGCCAGCUCCUAGUUGAAGCAGCAAGGCACCAAGAGGGAGAAACGGGGUGACAAGUGUUGGGUGAGUCAGAUCACCACCUCCUCCCCUCAGACUUUAAUGGAGACACCAGGACCUUGAUCCCAAAGGCUUUGAGAACCACAGUACCCAGCCCAUCUCCCAAACACUGGCCCUGUUUCCAGCUAAGGCCCCACUGAUGCAGGAGUAAUGGUCACUUACUACCGCCACCACCAUCUGCAGACUAAUUGCUACUCAGGAUUAGGUAAGGCCAAGAGCCCUGGAAGUGGCAGCAUCUCUCAGACCCCUAAUCCUGUUUCUAGCCCAGAGCCAGAGUCAGUUCCAGAAGUGAUCCACAUGGAGGUACAGCCAGACUGGAAACCCUCAUACUCCAGCCACAGCUUCUGAAGAUCUGGUCACCGAAGUCCUUGGGCACUGUCACGUGGCUCAACCCCAGCAACUGCUAUGAUUUUAUUAGUUGAAAUGACUUUAAAGAAGAGGCAUUACCAUCUGCUUUGCUGCCUAAUAAUCAUGGAACCGUUCCAUCUGACUUGCAGUGGAAGCUUGUUUUCUCCACUAUUAAAAUAUUAAUUCCUUGAGACCAAGGAAUUUUAGUUUUCUGUUUAUAACCUCAAUAUUUAGUACAGUGCUUUUCAAAUAGUAAGUGGCUACUAAAUGCUAUUUCAGUCAUUCAUUAAUUUGUUCAUUGCUUAUGAACCCCCAUUUUCCCUUGAGCAUUCCCUAACCAGCCAGAAUUAAUUAUGACAUCCUAAGAAUGCAAUAACAUUUACUUAAAUAGAAUGCAAGAUGAUAUCACAUGUAUAACUUAUAUCAUAAUAUUUACCAUCUCAAGGAGGGGUGACAGGAGGGAGGGAGAGAAUUUGGAACUCAAAGUUUAGAAAAUUAAUGUUAAAAAGCCAACUAGGUGGCUCAAUGGAUUAAAAGCCAGAUUUAGAGAGAGGAGGUCCUGGGUUCAAAUUUUACCUCAGAUACUUUCUAGCUGUUUGAUCACUAGUCCCCCAGCUUUUAUUGUUCUUCUACAUUAGAACGAACAUUUAAUAUUGAUUCUAAAACAGAAGGCAAGGUUUAAAAAAAUGUUAAAAUUUCUUCUUAUAUGUAAUUAGGAAAAUUUAAAUAUUAGAAGAUUUUAAAAAGAAAAUGUAAGCAAAAAAGGAAAGAUGUAUGUGUAUAUGUGUGUAUACAUAUAUAUGUAUAUGUCUGUGUGCAUAUAUAUACAUAUAUAUGAAUAAAGAAACAAAAACCAUCAUCAUGCAUUUCCCAAACUAUAAUCUGCCAGGGUUAGAGAUUCUUCUCAGAGGCAGAGAGGUUAGGAUGUGGUAAGCCUGUCUUCUUAGGGCAGAAACCAUAGCUAGAAAAAGUGACUCCAACCAUUGCCUCCUGGCCCAGAAGAAGAAAAACCUCUGUAAAUUGUGGCAGAAAUGAGACCCAGGUGCAGGACAGCUUCCUAGCCUCCCAUCUAUUUUCUCCUCUCUCUUCCAGCUCUCUCCUCAGAUAUGUCCUCUUUCUUCCAUGAGGUUUGUGUUCUACUUCCUUUCAGGGCUAUACCAGAUGCUCCCAGCCAACCAGACUCCAUGAGUUAACAUCAUUAUUUACUGGUCACUAAACAGACUUGUGGAAGAACUUCCUUGCCCAAUAAAUAAAUCCUAUUGGGAGAGCAGGAACAUAUCAUACUUUCACAAAAGCUCAACUUCUAUAUCAACCCUAGAGCCCAGGACCCUCUGGCAGUUCCCAUGCCUAACCUUUUCAGAUUCCAUUUCUAAGUAUCUUGGACAAAGCUACCACAAAUGUAACAUUUAUUAUGCCUCACUCUAAAAAAAUUUGAAUGGCUUAUUGAGUUCAUUGUGAGGUACUUGGGGAAAAAAUAUACCUCAAUAGGUUUGAACCCCUAACCUAGAUCAACCACAUACAUCUAAGAACAUCUAAAUUCUGCAUAUACUAGGCUAGUAGACCAAUC